rnacentral:rRNA from 1 species
UACGUAGGGUGCAAGCGUUGUCCGGAAUUAUUGGGCGUAAAGGGCUCGUAGGCGGUCCAUCGCGUCGGGAGUGAAAAGCUGGGGCUUAACCCCAGUCCUGCUUUCGAUACGGGUGGACUAGAGGUAGGCAGGGGGAGAACGGAAUUCCUGGUGUAGCGGUGAAAUGCGCAGAUAUCAGGAGGAACACCAAUGGCGAAGGCAGCUCGCUGGGACGGUACUGACGCUGAGACGCGAAAGCGUGGGGAGCAAACAGG